rnacentral:rRNA from 1 species
GAUGAACGCUAGCGACAGGCUUAACACAUGCAAGUCGAGGGGCAGCAUAGAAGUAGCAAUACUUUGGUGGCGACCGGCGCACGGGUGAGUAACGCGUAUGCAACCUACCUAUCAGAGGGGAAUAACCCGGCGAAAGUCGGACUAACACCGCAUAAAACAGGGGCACCGCAUGGUGAUAUUUGUUAAAGAAAUUCGCUGAUAGAUGGGCAUGCGUUCCAUUAGGUAGUUGGUGAGGUAACGGCUCACCAAGCCGACGAUGGAUAGGGGAACUGAGAGGUUGGUCCCCCACACUGGUACUGAGACACGGACCAGACUCCUACGGGAGGCAGCAGUGAGGAAUAUUGGUCAAUGGGCGGGAGCCUGAACCAGCCAAGUCGCGUGAAGGAAGAAGGAUCUAUGGUUCGUAAACUUCUUUUGCAGGGGAAUAAAGUGCAGGACGUGUCCUGUUUUGUAUGUACCCUGAGAAUAAGGAUCGACUAACUCCGUGCCAGCCGCCGCAGUAAGAC